AUGCUCAUGUUUCUCUUCAUAUCGUAAAAAAUCUUUCGCCUUUUACUAAAGAUUUCCGUGGAGAGGAAUGAAAACUGAGUUUCGUAGCAAUUUUUGCACGCUCCGGCUUUUGCCGGAGCU